CGCCCCGCAAGGGGAGCGGCAGACGGGUGAGUAACGCGUGGGAAUCUACCCAUCUCUACGGAAUAACUCAGGGAAACUUGUGCUAAUACCGUAUACGCCCUUCGGGGGAAAGAUUUAUCGGAGAUGAAUGUGCCCGCGUUGGAUUAGCUAGUUGGUGGGGUAAAGGCCUACCAAGGCGACGAUCCAUAGCUGGUCUGAGAGGAUGAUCAGCCACGCUGGGACUGAGACACGGCCCAG
rnacentral:rRNA from 1 species